AGCGAACGCUGGCGGCAGGCUUAACACAUGCAAGUCGAGCGCCGUAGCAAUACGGAGCGGCAGACGGGUGAGUAACGCGUGGGAACGUACCUUUUGGUUCGGAACAACACAGGGAAACUUGUGCUAAUACCGAAUAAGCCCUUACGGGGAAAGAUUUAUCGCCGAAAGAUCGGCCCGCGUCUGAUUAGCUUGUUGGUGAGGUAACGGCUCACCAAGGCGACGAUCAGUAGCUGGUCUGAGAGGAUGAUCAGCCACAUUGGGACUGAGACACGGCCCAAACUCCUACGGGAGGCAGCAGUGGGGAAUAUUGGACAGUGGGCGCAAGCCUGAUCCAGCCAUGCCGCGUGAGUGAUGAAGGCCCUAGGGUUGUAAAGCUCUUUAGCCGACGAAUAUAAUGACUGUAGUCGGAGAAUAAGCCCCGGCUAACUUCGUGCCAGCAGCCGCGGUAAU
rnacentral:rRNA from 1 species